GACAUGUAUCGAUACCGAACGCUUCUCGCGAUAUUUCAAACUAAUAUCGACAGAAAUGUCGAAACGAACAAUACGAUUGUUCGUUGUACUUGUUUCCAAUUUUCACUUCGAAACGAAUAAAUGCGCGUUUAAGAUUUAUAGCUGUACAAAUAUAACAAUAACAAAGGAAAAGAUGAUAAGAAAUAUUGUUUGAUUGAAAACAAGAUGAAAGAUGAAGAAACAAGUCGUAAGUGCCAUAAAUUCCGCGCGAAUAACGGCAUCGUUUCUGGCGAAUGCAAAGGUAAGAGUAGUGGAAUACGCACAAAUCCCAGACGUGGAAUUUCACGCUAAUUCCAAGGAAUUCCGUGCAUUGCAAAAAUGCGAAAUAUGGAAUUCCACAUUUAAUCAAAUUCCAAGGGUGGAGUACUCCACACAUUCUACGCACUCGAGUCGGCCCUUGUUACGAAGCGGAAGCAACGAAAGCUUGCUACUUCCGGUCUACGUUUCCUUCCAUUUCCUUUCUGGUCACAUAUCCUUCAUCUCUAAUUUAUUUACAACAAACAUCGAUAUUUUUAUGAAAUGACGCACAACCGAAAUUCAGAAUACAGGAUAUUUUGACUAACCUGUCCAUCUAUUAAAUUUAUUGAAGAACACUGUCUACCAUAUACCUACCUACUAGAAGAUCUGCGCAACUACCGAUUUAAUGCGAAGAAGCAAUUAUAUACCUUGCAAUCCGAAUGGUUGAAUAUUGCAAUCUGUGUUAUCGGCACUUGAAACAACUCUGACAUAAUGCUUAAAUUCGUCAUCACUUUAUCAAAACGCAAACGGUUUGCUGGAAAAUAAAUUUUUUUCCUCAACAGCAGACAAAACUUGCCGACUUACACAUGAUUUAAAAAAGGAAGUUACAAAAGUGAAUAAAUUUGAAUACAAUUCAGUAUAAAAUUAAAACUUCAGUAAAUAAAAUUCUUUUUUCAGGAAUGUAAAAGUCGUAACUAUUUUUCUAAAUGCGUACAGCAGGAUAAAAACAAGUAAAAUCAAAACAGAUUGGAAGAGUAGAAUCAACGGAUAAGCGUGCAUCAGAGGUUUCAGGAGAGCGUUUCGAGGGAUACGUUCCAACGGUGGGUCAGCAUCGACAAGGCUGUGUAUAGGUCCUUAUAUGGUAGCCGGUCGUAUGGCUGUAUAUAGAGAGAGCUCGAAAGAGGCUGAAUACGCAACCGUGGAACACGUUCGCGUCCUUUACGUAUCCACUCGUUGAAUAUUUCUUCUUUCCCUGUCUUUUGUACCCGUGUAGGAGUGUUGCAUCGAGUGCACGCGUACACAGAUACAACGUUGCGCGUAACGGUCAGAAAAUGAAGACCAGAAACAGCGAUUAAUCUUACAAUUGAUACACGCAAUUCGAACGUAACGUUUUGUAGAGAUAACCGCUUCAAAUCGCAUCCAUUGACGCUUUAAUUUUAGCAAUAUGUAACGAACAUGCAAAUACGGAGACUGUUACCGUUAAGUCGGUCGAUUUCACGAAAGCCAUGAAAGCACGUUCGAAAAUGUAUCUCAUUGGAUUGUCGCAACACGAAAGGAGAACUGAAAAUGUUCGGUACGCCAGUGUCCGGAGAAACCACGAUAAAUUCUACUUGAUCUCGCGAGGAGAAAAGAGGUCUGCAAGUUAAUAAGGAAACUAGGUUGCUCGCACCGACGCGCUAGCCGGUUUGCAGUACGCGUCGGUGUAUGCCACGCUUCGAUGCUUGUACUCAUCGCGAAAGAUCGUAACAUCACACAAGUCGGUAACCUAUCAUCCGAAAACAACGACCUUCAAGUAAUCUGUUAAACGCACGUGUCUGAAACUGAUCAACUAUUAUUUUCCGCAAGAAAGUCAACCAUGCUGUACACGAAAUUAUGCCGUGAUCUCGCCUGGUAACACGAGCGUAAAGGAUCCUCUUCAGCGGUCAAGAUUUCGUGAACAAGUACUACGGUAUACACUGCGAAUGAAUAGAGUUGAAGGGAACACCCUUUGACCCAAUCUCGUAGAUUGCAGAUUGCUUUCGUUACUACGCUUCAAAUUGACGAGCAACAAGGCUGAUGUAUUUAGUAUUUCUUCAUAACGUUCGAGGAGAUAACCUAAGGUCCUUGACUGCUCCGACCUUGAAGAUGCUCGAAAUCUCAGAGAUACUUCUCUUCCGUGAUGUGAAUGAAAUACAUGCGAAGGUCUAUGAUGCGUGUGCAUGUGUAGGUUCGUGUAAACGGGGUUGCAUCGGGGGAGCGGUCGACGGGUGGCAGACGGUUUCAUCGAUUGGCAAUGCGGGGGUCGAAGAGUGGGGUUCGUGAACCCCUCCCUCCCUGCUAUCUAUAUCUACUUUAUAACGUAUCGACGACCUCGGUUUUCAUGGUCAUGGGUAAAAAGAAACCGUUCUGACUCGAAGGGAGAGCUUGCCAGUCGGUAACGAGGAAUAUAUUUGUGCGCCUGAUGCGCAACGGAAAUGCAUUUGUCAAAACCACGCCCUUGUCGAAUCCUACCGUCCUACACUGGCGUGCACCGUAAAGCUUCUCUAGGGAAAAUGGCGAGAUGGGGGAAAAGACCACACCGGGCGUUGAUUUUUUAUUGAAAUUUGGAAAAUUCGGAGAUUUGCAUAUUUGGAAAUUUUCAACUUUAAUCUAAAAUCAAAGAUAAGUCUCUUGUUUUUAAAGGAAAACUAUAUCUGAGUAUAUCUGGAAACCGGAUGAUAGCUUUAGGGUAGCUACUCGAUUCUUUAUAUGUACAUGGCUUGUUCACUUUCGAAUUAACUCCCGUAUCAAGAUUUCCGGCGAAGGAUAAAAUGGAUGAUUCGAAAAUGAAAUGUAUAUAAAUAUAUAAAUGCACAGGACCUGUAUGGAGAUUUGACCACACCCCUCCAUUUUUGAUCAUUGAAUAAUAAACACGAUCGAUAUCGUUAAAAAUUAUUGGUCCGCGUUUAUCGGUCCGCUUGUUGAAGACAAACAGGAUGAGCAACGUAUCAACGAUGACCGCCUUCGGAUAGCUUUCAUAAUGUUAAAAACAUGUAUAUAUGUGCGAUUGUGCUACCGCCUUUCUUCAAUGUAGGAAGAAAGCCGGUCCCGGCGAAUGUACCGGUACAAUGACACCGAUACGAUUCUUUCACUCAAAGAAAAUUUAUCAGCGGACAAUUUAAACGGCGAGAUAGAAUGUAUCGCGCAAAGAGC